rnacentral:rRNA from 1 species
UGAGGAAUAUUGCACAAUGGGCGCAAGCCUGAUGCAGCGACGCCGCGUGGGUGAUGAAGGCUUUCGGGUCGUAAAACCCUUUUCUGUGUGACGAGCAAGGACGGUAGCACAGGAAUAAGCCUCGGCUAACUACGUGCCAGCAGCCGCGGUAAAACGUAGGAGGCGAGCGUUAUCCGGAGUUACUGGGCGUAAAGCGCGUGUAGGUGGUUGGAUACGUCUGCUGUGAAAUGUCCCGGCUUAACCGGGAGGGUGCGGCAGAUACGGUCUGACUUGAGGGUGACAGAGGAGCGUAGAAUUCCGGGUGUAGUGGUGAAAUGCGUAGAGAUCCGGAGGAAUACCAGUGGCGCAAGCGGCGCUCUGGGUCACAACUGACACUGAGACGCGAAGGCAUGGGGAGCGAACGGGAUUAGAUACCCGCGUAGUCCCUGAGCGGGCUGGCAAGGCGCAU